rnacentral:rRNA from 1 species
CGANCCGUAACGCCGUACGACAACGGAGGACGAGGCGGCCACGGUAGGGUCGACGCGACUGGGGUG